ACACCGUGAGCUUGCUUUUGAUGGUACCUAAUGUUUCUGCUAACCCACGUUGACCAGGAGUGACCGGACGAAUAUUUUAAAUAGCUUUAGUUCUUGUAUGAGUUCCUGUCUGUAGGCCGCAAAUCAACUUUUUGUUUACAACAAUAUAAAUUAACUGUACAUGUAACAUUCAUAUUGUAACAAUGGCAAGUUUAAUAUCUUUUAUGUACUUGAAUAUAGGUAAUAUUAGGGGUUAAAGUAUGAAAUUGCCGUUUUAUUCUAGUAGGUUUUUGAAUUGCCAUAGAGUCUUCAUGGUUUGAGGUUUUCGAAUGGAACUUUUUUCAAGUGGUUUCUGUGAUGUUCUUCUUUUAAAAAAUGUGAAACAUUUGAUUAUCGAUGUUCAAUUGUUUUUGUUAUUCAACUUAAACAAGAAAGAUGGAUACUGCGAAAAUUUGAGUAAUUUUUGAAUAUGAGUUCCGACGCGGAAGUAAACGGCAGAAACAGCCCGCAAUAUCAAUGCUGCAUUUGAAGAGGUGUCUGCUAAAGAACGCGCCGUGCGAUUUUGGAUUAAACGCUUUCGUGGUGGAAACUUCGACUUGAAGAACGAGCCAUGAGAAAGACCGCCUGACAGGUGAUUAACGAGAAAUUAAGAGAGACGGUGAACGCCGAUCCUAGUCAAACUACCCAGAUACCCAGCCGAACACCGAAUAAUGUUGAAAAAAUUAGCAGUAAAACAGCCACGACUCAUGAAUCGACCUUCACCGCUAUUGCUCCAUGACAACGCGAGGCCUCAUACAGCAAAAUAAACCGUUUUAACUCUUCAGGAACUGCAGUUGGAAACUAUUCGUCUUCCUCCAUAUUCGCCAGACCUUGCUCUAACGGACGACCAUUUUUUUUGUGAUUUGGACAAUUAUCUACGUCACAAGAAGUUUCUUCCCAGGAGGCAGAACAAAAUUCUUUCACACUGUUUGUGCAGUCUAGAUCCUCAGAGUUCUAUCGUAAAGGCAUAAAUGACCUUCUUAUUAGAUGACCGCAAUGUAUAGAUAAUAAUGGCAACUAUUUUGAUUAAAUAAGUUUGUUAAAAAUUUAAAAAAAAUACAAUUUAGGUUUUCAGUACAAAUCGGCAAUUUCAUACUUUAACCCCUAUUAUUAAAGCAUCUUAUAUAUUUUCAUCUUCUACAAUAAUAAAGAGUUUUUAGUGAGUGAAUAAAGAUUUAUUUUUUUGUAUCUAAAGGCGAGGCAUGCUAGAUAUGUACUAGUGUCCGUACUUAAAUAUUGAUCCUUGUGCCAUACCUGACUUACUGUCUGUAUCAUGCCAUUUGUCCAUGUUUGUGUAGGAUGUUGUUUUUUACUUGUAAUCGUCUAUAAAAAAUAUAUUUGCGUAAUUUUUUUUGCGUCUUUUAGUAAAUCUUUAUUGAAUUUCAAAGGGUUAACCAUCCUUAAUUGCUUAAUUAAGGGAUAGGCCCAUCUUCGGGCCUUUUGCUAAAUUUGUCUUAGUUAGCGAAUUAUAUGGGACGACAGUAAAUUAUGUGGUCCCCUCCAUUAAUUUAUAUUUACAAAAACUCAAACCACCUUUUCUUUUCAUUGUUUUAUGUUGGUUAGCCUAAUUCAUAAUCGUUUCUAUCGAACCAAACAGGGUUCUGCUUUUGGGACAUUUCCGAUAUUAAAGAAAAUAAUGAUUAUAAAUAUAUGCUUGUUUUCCUGAGAAAACACUAAUUAACGUAGAAAGUAGGUAUUUUAUGACAUUAAACUACACUACCCGUAUCUAGACAUAAGCAGUGAUAAUAACCUUAACCAUGGUUUUAGUGGAUGAAUACAACUUGUAAAAUCUUCAUCUCAAUAUGGCAUUCCAGGUUGUCUGUGCCAAGAUCACAUACGAGCCUAUUAUACUGGCCCAGAUUUCUGAAGGAUAUCCUUUUUCAGUCUUAUUAUAAUUCUUUGUUAAAUCCAGCCAAUCAGUUCUUUUUGAAUGCAUUUUUUUGCAUUGAUUAUCCAUCCACACAGCGAAAAAAGUAUAUAAAUAUAAAAAAUAGGUAUUUAUAAACUACGUGUAUAAACUACAUACUAUAUAUCUUUUUAUUAUCUUUCGGGUCUAGCUUUUGACGAUCGCAAGCGGGACAAAUUUACGUAAGCACGACAACCAAAAACACGUAAAUGCAAGCAAGAGCAAGAUCUGGCUUUCUGUUAUAAAUACCAUAGCUCAUAAGGAGUACGAUUUCCUAAAGCUCUGUGUCGACAUCUAUUUUUAAAACGAGUAGCAGUACGUACCGCUUUUUGCCAGAAAGUACAUCACCAAUGCCAGACGAAGUAACCUUCUUGUUAUUGGCCAAAAUUAUUUCUUUGCUCUCAACAUUAGGAUUAAAGUUAGUAAGCCAUUCUUUCCUGUAUGACUUAUGCGUGGCGGCACCACUGUCCACGUACCAAUCUGACGAACUGAUACCACCUCCGGCACUAAACAUCGGUGUUGAUUCUAUGUCAUCUAGACAUCGGUGUUGAUUCUUUGACAUUUCCUUGCUUCGACUUUUGUCCAUUUCUCUGCGGACAAUUCGGACUUUUAUGUCCAGGCUCCUUACAUCGAUAGCACACAAUAUUUUUCGCUUUCGAUAUUCACGUUUGGCACUUUCUGCUUAACAAGUUGUGAUGUUAUGUCCACGUAUGAGUUUUCGAGGGCCAUCACAAGGGCAUCGUAUUCUUCUGGCAAUCCGCCUACUAAUAUUGCACCAACAGAUAAGCCGUCUUUUUUACGGCCUAUAUAUCUGCCAAGUAUAGGACAGUGCUAGUAACUGUAUUUAUAUACUCUUCAAUGGAAACAAACUGCAACUAAAUCUUUCUGUCUAACGCAAGUCUUUUGAUCAUACCUUUAUUUUCUUACGCUUUUUUUUGGAGUGCCAUCUCGCAGUUCAGCUAAGGAGCCUGUUGACUGCUCAACCGGACAAAUCCCUGUGGAUGCCUAGAAUUUAAGGCCGCCAGCCAGGGAAAAGCUCUUCAUACGCGUUUGCUAAUGUAUCAUAUUACAGCUACAACAUUGGUAGGGCUGGGCCCGUACUUAACCAUUGGUUAACCACCAUUGGACGAAAAAAACUAUUUUACAAAUAAAUGUGUAGAAAUCUUGGUUGAUCAUUAUUUGUCGGAAACAAAGAGCCAAUCCUAUAAUAAACUCGCCCUUGUGCCAUAAAUGCAACUGAAGAUUCAGGCAUGAUGACCUCAUUACCCACACUAAAUGAUGUCAUUUGAAAGCAAGAAUUGUACUUUCUUAUUCUGUUUAAAAAUCGUCGAGAUUCAUUGCUGUCAUAGAGCAUCAAUCGAUUUUGUCUACAAUAUCGCAACGAAAUGUGUGUUCGACAGCCUAUGGGUUCUAAUAAAAUUGGCAGUAUCCCACUACAAAUUGCGACAUUUCUCGAACUCCCAGUACCUCAUUUGUACACGGAUCAUUGUUUCCGACCGACGAACUUCAGCCACACUUUUGACCGAUUCAGGAGCUGAUCUUCUGUCCCUUACGUACGUACGUUAAGCGUAACAGACGGACAGACAGAGUUACUCUCAAGAGUGACAGUGAAAUACCCAUAGGGCUAGUCAAUAAUAUCGUAAACACGACACUGGUGAUGUGAUGAUGUGGGAAACUUCAAUGAAUAACUAAUGCUACUAGAACGUGCCCGGGAUCUAUUACUUGAUAAGUACAUUUGCAUUUUAGAGCAAAAUCAACGAACGAAUGGGUUGCAUAAUUCUUUACUUAGAUUAUCAUGGGCGUAGCCACACUGGGGCAAGCUGGGGCACUUGCCCCACCCUGGGCCCUGGCUCUGACCUAUAAGGUGUCUGAUUAAACAAUGUUUUUUUUUACUAACUCUAACUAACAA